rnacentral:tRNA from 11 species
GGCCAGGUGGCCGAGUGGUUAUGGCGUCAGGUUUAGGCCCUGAUUUCGAGAGAUUCCCGCGUUCGAAUCGCGGCCUGGUCA